rnacentral:rRNA from 1 species
UACGUAGGGUGCGAGCGUUAAUCGGAAUUACUGGGCGUAAAGCGUGCGCAGGCGGCUCCUCAAGUCUGGCGUGAAAGCCCCGGGCUUAACCUGGGAAUUGCAUUGGAAACUAGCGGGCUGGAGUGUGGCAGAGGGGGGUGGAAUUCCACGUGUAGCAGUGAAAUGCGUAGAGAUGUGGAGGAACACCGAUGGCGAAGGCAGCCUCCUGGGCUAACACUGACGCUCAUGCACGAAAGCGUGGGGAGCAAACAGG